AUUGGUAUUCUGCGUGGUUACAGAGUUUUUGGAAGGGGAGGAGGAGGGAGAUGAUUGUUUGGUGGAAGAUGAUCGGUUGGUGCUCAUGAUGAGAGAAAGAAAUCUGAUGAGAGAAGCGUGGGUGAGAUGAGAGAAAGAGGAAGGUUGCGCAGCCAGUUAUGUGAGAAGAGCGGUGGCGCAAGGAUUAGGGUUUAGGAUCAGUACCUGAUGCUUACUGAUACCAUAUUGGAAUGAUAGGUCUGACCUUUCUAUUGAUUUUCAAUGAUAUAUAUACAAUCAAUUUUUCUCUCUGUCUGUUUGCUAUACAAUCAAGACUAUUUAAUAACAAUAAUAUUCUAAUAAUAACAAUGAUAUCCUAAUAAUAAAAUGAUUAUUCUAAUAUUUAUAAAAAGGAACACUCAUGAUUCAACUCAUAUCUACAACAAAAUCAAAUAAUUUUUUACAUUUCAAUUAAUAAAAAUUAAAAUGAUUAAUUAAUUAAAUAAUUAAGUUAAUAUUGCAACUAGCAUUUUCAAUCCUUAUUUAUCAGAAAACUAAAAUUUGAUAAUAAUUUAUUACUAUCUAUUAUCUAUUAUAAUAUAUUAAAAGGGAAGCACGCAUUCUCAUACUUAUAAUUCUACUCCAUUGAUCUCACGUUAUCACAUAGUCACACGUGACACAUUCCAAAACUCAUUUUUACUCUUCUAAAAGUCAAAUGCAAUAUUUCUACUCUAUUUGAGGUCACGUGUUCGAAUCCCCGCAAAGACAAAAUAUUACGUUUUCUUAAAAUUAUAGCAAUAAAAAUAACACUUAACACAAAUCUUUUUAAUCUUAAAGUAAUUCUUACACAAUUUUUAGAGAUAGGUUAAUGAGUUGAUCUUAAAAAAUAAUAAUGUAUACAACAAUCUUUUAUCGUUUCUACAUAUUUAUCCUAUAGAGAAUAAUAAAAGCAACAAUAAUAAUAUUUAAAAAAAACACUAAUAUUUCAAUUUGAUAUCAAAGACAAAAUCAAAUCAACUUUUACAUUUCAAUUAAUAAAAAUUAAAAUAAUUAAUUAAUUAAAUAAUUAAAUUAAUAUAGCAACUAGUAUUUUCAAUCCUUAUUCAUGAAAUAAUUAAAGUUUGAUAAUAUUCUACUGUAAUAUAUUUAAAUAGAAACCUUUAAUUCUAUUUCAUUUGUGUCACAUCAUCACAUAGUCAUACGUGGCACAUUCCAAAAUAACUAAUAUUUGAUCGUAUAAACUUUUAAUUUUAUUUAAUACUAAAAAUUAAUACAUAUCUUCAACGAUUUAACAUUAGAUAUCUAAAUCAAAGAUAAGUAUAAAAGAUAUAUAAGAAUCAAAAUAAAACAAUUCCAAUCUUAAUUUACAAGAAUAUAUUUUUCUUUUGUAUUAAAGUAUAUCUUUUUAGAUGUAAUUAAUUUUCUCAAUUAUAAUUCACAAUAAUUUAUUGUAAUAUAAAUUUAUUAAUCAUAUUUUGUCAAAAUAAAUUUUUAACAUAUUUAAAAUUUAAUAAAAAAUAAUAAAGUAAUUUACAAAUGCGCAUAACGUGGGUCUUCUUCUAAUUAAUAUUAAAAUUGAAACAUCAAAUUUCUAAACCUAGAUACAAUAUUGUUUUAGCUCAACCAUCCAUCACAAAAGUAUUAAAUAGCAUCAAUGAAUAAAGGAAUACUCGACACAUAUUGUAUGCACAAAGAAACUCUUCAUCAUAUUCUUAGCAACAACAUAUUGCAUUAUUGUGAAAGAAAAAAAAAUUAAAAUGGAACACGUCAAACAUAAAAUCAGAAAAAAGGAACAAUUGAAAUAUAAAGAAAUUCAAAAACACACAAUUGCAUCACAAAAGAUUUGAGGGGCGAAAUAGAAAAUGAAAAGAAAAAAGAAAGAUAUGAACAAAAUGAGAGAUGCUCUUCAUUAACUUGGACAAUUUUUUGUCAAUUGCCUUAGGAAAAUGAUUAUACCUAUGAAAUCUGACCAAGUUACAAUCAUAGACAAGCCCUUAGUGAUUUAUGCUCGUAAAUAAAUUCAAAAUUGAAUUGUGCAGAUGAAUAUAUGAAUUGAUCAGGAUGUUAGCAAGGUUAUUGGAUGAGAGUCUACUUUCCGCAUGAUUGAAAUCACAAAGUCUUCAUCCAUAUUGUGAAAAAGAGUGAUAGGGUAAUUCAAGUGGAAUUGUGUCAUUGUUUUUAACUGUAUGAAAUGAUGUUUGUAUGAAAGAACUUAUUUAAUAAUCAUACUUGAUUCUAGAAAAGUAAACGAAUACAACUUUCGCAUGUGCAUUCGUCAUUUAACCAUACAUUUUUUGUCAAUUAUUUUGUAAGAGCAUUGUUGAGUCAUGAUCCUUGGAGGAACUUUUUACUUUAGAGUGAUUAUGACCUUGAUUGAGGACAAACAAAAAUUCAAGUUGGGGAGAGUUUGAUAAGUGUCAAAACUACAGUGAUUCUUUACCUGAAACUUGGUGCUUAUUGACUUGUACUAACAAUGUUUUUUUAUAGUUUUCCAAGGUUUUUAAUUAGAAAGUGGUACUCUUUAGUGUGUUGUUGAAUGUUGCAGAAACUUUCAAGAUCACACCUGAUUCAUCACAAAAGAAGAAAAUGUUCGGCACAUUUUGCUAAGCGGAAGGUAGCGAGACGCAACGAAGGGAAAUAGAGGCAAACACACAAAGCUCGCUUGAAGCGAGAGGUAGCGAGAAGCGGCGAGGCAAACACACAACACUUUGCUAAGCGAGAAGUAGCGAGAGACAGCGAAAAGAAACAGAAUCAAAAGUCAGCUUGAAGUGAGAGUUAGCGAAGAACUUCGCUUAACGAGAGAAAGUAAGGCGGUUUGAAGCAUAUUCAGAGUGAUUGAAGGAUGCUUCUCUUAGUGAGUCAUAUUUCGCUAAACAAAAUUGGUUACAACCAGACACUAUAAAAGGGGCAGAAACACAGUUAAUGAGAGUUAAUUAGUUUUUUUCUUUAGACAGAUACCACAUAUAGAAGGAGAGAAGUGUGAACAGUUAGUUGGAUAUGCGUCAGAUAAUUGGGAAAUUGCAUUUGAUACUGAUUGAUCUCAAUUCCUUCGUGAUUAAUCAAGCUACCAUAAUGAUGACUAGCUAAUUUCUUCUCUUGUGUUGGGAUUGAAUGUAAUCCGUCAAAUCGUAUGUGUACUAAUUGAUCAUCAUAUAUUAUAAUCUAGUUGUUUAUAUUCAUCAAAUAUUAUAUUUGCUUUAUCGCUCAACCUUAUAGAUCUGAAUUGUUAUUGACAAAUACUUUUUCAAUCCUGAUCUAAGAUAAUAUUGUGUUAAACUCUUAUCUCUAGACAUAGGGUUAGAGUAUAAUAUUCACGUAAAGUACCAAAGAUUCAUACUAUCUUAUUGUUUGAUAGAUUGAGAAAUCAUUGAUCAAACAACACGAUAGAAUUCUCGACAAAAGUUUAGACAUAAUACAUGUUGUGAGGAUACGUGAUGAUAUGAAUAAACAAUAAGAUUAUACUUGAAAGUGAUCAAGGAAUUCAUAUGUAUUAUGAGGAUGAAAUUCAAUCCCAUGUAUUACGAGGAAGAAAUUCAAUCCCAGCACGUUUUAUCAUUUGUGAAAUUCAAUCCCAUCUAACCGGUUAAUUUGAGCAUCGCUGUUGAUUAUUCAAGCCAAAGAUGGAGUCUAACCAGAAGGCCACCAAAUGAUUUACAUUCCCUUGACCGAAGUGUGUUGUAGUAUCAGACAAAUGUUUUUCUUUUAUAAAGAAAUGGAAUACAACUUCUGCAAAAGAUCUACACUAAGGGGAUUUCUAAAGAAAAGGAAGAGUCUUAUACCCUUGUGCCCAAUUCUGUAUCAGAGUCUCAUCAAACAUUAUCAAAUUGAUGCGCAUAGUCGAAAUGAGUGCAUUUACAAGAAGAAAAAAACCACAGUAACAGUUUUAUGAACUACCAUAAUCUCACAAGGAUUAAGUAUCACAAUCCUCGGGAUAUAAUCACCCUCACCCUCGUAGAAAGAACUAUGGGUUAUAAAUAUUACAUGCCUACACGGUAUGGACAGGAACAAAAUAUAAUGCUAGAAGAAACAAAGCAACUUGCAACCUUCGCCUUUCUCAUUCGGUAUUACUCUUGAGGAUAGGUUCACCAUUCUUCUCUUUUGUGCUAUCCACAAUUUUGGUUUCAACGUGACCAUACCCCUCAGUUGCAUUGACAUUGGCUUCAAGAGUGUUUGACUCUUGGAGCAGCUUUUGAUCAAGAUUCUGAGCAGCUUCUGACUCUUCAGAUUUGUCACCUUCACGUCUUUCGUUGAGGUUUUGAACAGCUUCCGCAUCAUUUUUGGCAGCGUCAGCAUUUUGUGUUUGAUGUUCCCCUAAACUUUGAGAAGCUUCCAACUCCUCGUACUUAGAAACCAACUGCUGCAGCUCAUCAUUGAGAUAUAAAGCCUCAAAAAGUGUUUCUUCAUCAUUUGUUGUGCUUUGCACAAUCUCCUUGAUAACAUAGAGUGAUUGCUUGCACUUAUCCAGCAGACUCAAAGUUAAUUCUUCCUGCAACCAAACAAAAAUAUAGUACAAUCCAUCAGAAAAAAUAUAUAUAAUUCUAUCAUAAGAAUAGUAGCCUUGCAUUGAAAAGCAUGUAUCUGAUUUAUGAGUAGUUCUUUAAAAAUCUGUGCAAGAAGACUUCAUACAUACAAUAAACAUCAGAGUCGAAAACAAAACAACAAUUCAGUAUUCAAAAGAUGCUACAUUUACUUAAUUUCAGAAAAGGAUUACCUUUAAAGGUUUUGGCUCUGCCUCAGAAUUUAAUAUGCUAGAGAGAACUUCAAGACUGUUUCGAGCAACCACAAGAUGCUCUUUCUUCUCUUCAACAGAAACGGGUUGGUGGUCAGUAAAGAAAGCCUCUGAGUCAUCCAGAGCAAGAGCAUGUAACCCUGCUACUGGAAUUGGGUAUCUUUCAGGGGGGUUUAAAGAUUGUUGAUAAGUAUGUGACUCUGAGGCAUAUGGAAUUGGUGGUGAAUUUCCUCCUGCCGCGUCAAGUGAUUCACCCCUUCCUUUCAAACUCUGUCAUCAAUGAGAGAGGAAGUAGGAUUCAAAUUAAUGAAAGAGAAAAGGAAGCACAACAAUACAUAAUAAAAAAUAAAAAAUAGAAGGCACCAAAUUCAAAGCUAAUAUACUGUAACAAUAAAAUCCCAAGGUCUCCUGGGAAAAGCUAUUUUACACAGUAAAAUUCUGCAAACAAUGGCUAGAAGUUAUAUAUAACAAUAAAAUCAAGUACCAAAAACAAUUAAGUUACUAUUCAAAGACAAUUUCAAGCCAAUGAUAUUUGCUUCCUUUAAACUAUCAGGAAAUUUUUAACUUGUGCCCUAAAGGCACAUGUUAAAAAAUCAAAUGUAGAAAUAUCAACUGUGGAAAUUGUGCAUUCAAUUCUUUAAUAGCUAAAAAAGUGUUUUUUCCAACAGAAAAAUUCUAUCAUUGAAAUGCUUAACAUGCGCCCUUUAGCCCUUAGGGCACAAAUGACCCAAACUGUUAAUACCUUUGGAUGACUUUCUUAUCCAAAUUUCAAUCAAGUGUUUUUUUGGACCAAUGUCAUUUCAAAUAUUUGAGAGAUAAAGUAAAAUGGAGUAUAUAGAAUGUGAAUUCACCUAGAAACACCUUAAGAAAGCUAGGAAGCCAAAAUGGAAAUCUUACUGUUCCAAAACUCAGAGUAGGCACCUUGAAUCCAUCAUAAAAGUGGUAGCUAUAGAUAAAUAUAAACCAUAGUAUUCAACCUAGGUAGAUGAAAUUUAAAAUAUUCAACUUCAUCAUGAUCAACAUUACUUUUUAUUCCCCUGGGUUUCUAUUAUAAGAAAAUAAUUAUUACUUUUUAGAUUCACAUUGAAUAACCAAUGUCCAUAUACAUUGAUUAUUCAAUGUAUCUAAAGAGUAAUUUUCUUUCUUAUAAUAGAAACCGGAGGGAGUAAGAUUAAAGGAAAAGUUACGACAUAGUCAUAACAACAGAUUAAUUGUUAUACAAGAUGACAGACUCGGGAAUAAAAGAUGGUGGGUCUUAUUUUGGUUUGGGCAUGUGUUGAAACUUGAGAAGGCAAUGAUAUGGCAGAUCAAGAUAGAAGAUAGCUCAAUUAUUAGAGGUAGAAAAAAUCGAGCAAAACAAUAAACUAACCCAUCAAGAAAGAAUCAAAGUUAAAUCAUCUAUAGGGCAGAACAUGAUUCAUGACAAGAACAGGACAGGACAUAAUGACAUCAUUAAGUUCAUAUAACUGAUCCCACCUAAUGGGAGAAAAAAAUUGUUUGUCAUUGUUACCGUUGUUGUUGUUGUCGUCAAAAAACAAACAAUGCCUUGCCUUGUGAUGUGAUACUGUUUCUCAAGCAGUAAUAAUACUAUGUAACGUAUACAUCCAAGAAAACUUAAAAACAAUAAAGAUUAGUAAGUUGUGUAUGCCGUGGUUUGCCAAUUGCCAUAUCAGAAUAAGGCCAAUAGAAAUCCCUGUAGGAAAUUUUACUGGAUGAAGGAUACUCUAAUAAUUAAAUAUAAGUGAAACCAUUGAAAACGACUUUAUCUAUAUAGCUAGUAGCUACUAUAAGUCCUUGUUGUAUGACAAACCAAAAUGGAAAUGCAAUCCGUUGUAUUUAUCAUCUUGUUUGUACCUAUUUAAGUGAAUUAAUUUUAACAUCCUUAAAGGGUAGCCUAAGCCUUACCAUGCAAAAUAAGAUUGCCUAUAAUAGGUACAAUAGAUCUAAUCCAAUGACUAACACUUUGCUUAACUCUUAAUAUCUAGUAAGCACGGACACAGACAUUGACUACAGUAAUAAUUUGGAAGAAAAAAAAAGAAUAAAUUAAACAUAAUCACAAGUGUCGGUGUUGGUUUCAACCGGCGGUGCUACACAGCUCAAAAUAGAACAUCCUCUAUCUACCAUAGUUCUACUAAUAACCUACUAAAUUGAACUCUAUGUUUUUCCCUUAAUUUGAUCAUAACUCAAAUACAUAGACAUAGCUCUAUUAUUCUGUAACACACUUUCUCGCUCUUUCCUGUUACUUGAAAUUUAUUAGGGUCCAAGUAUAAUCUUGGGUGAGAUCAGCUUAAAUUAGGGGACCCAAUUGACCCUGUAAUGUUACAACAAAAGAGGCAUAGUAAAAACAAAGCAAGAAAGAAGAAAGAAACUAACCAAAUAAGUUUGACUGAAAACAGGAAGAUAAGCAAUAUCCUCAGAUUCACCCCAAGCCCUAAUCAACUGUAAAGCCCUUGUUCUAUUAUCCUGAUCCGCCUGAGGAUUAUCAAUCAACCUAACCAUAUCCUCUAGAACCUUCUCGGAAGCAAUUACAGAAAACACCUUUUCACAAUUCAUAGCACAAGUUUCCAACAAAUCAAGGCUAUGUUUCUGAACAACCGGACUCUUCUGAUUGAUCCUCCUCUUGAUGGCUUUCACCACUUCCGAACCAUUAAACUCGUCGGAGUUGAUAAGGCCGCAUAUCCUGAGAUUCAUUCCCCAAUUCGGUUCCUCCAAAGUCUCCGACGUUGCUUCGUCAACCAUCUUCGAUUCCGGCGUCGGAGUUUGGAGUAUUUCCUUCAUUUUGCCGCUUACGAUUCGACUCAGAUUAGCGCUGUUGGUUUUGAGCCUCUCGCCGAAGAGAGCUAGCUUCGAUUUGUCCAUCGGAAGUGAGAGUGAUGAACCCUAGAUCGGAUUGUGGUUUUGUGAGUGAAGGUUAGAAGAAUGUGGAAAUGGGAAAGUGGAAACUGGAAAGUUCAACGAUUGAGAGAGAAAGAGAGAGAGAUUUGUGAUUUGACUAUUGAUCGUGUACUUUUUACGUGGCUCUUUUGAUGUACACGUUUCGGUAAACUACUCACCGUUUUCAAUCUUGACAUUGUAACUGUGUGUUUCGGACCCCAAAUAUAUUCCUUCCAAAUCAGUGGUGAAUUUCAUUCUAGUCAAACACUUUGUCUGUACUGGAAUUUCGUAAUUAUAACUAUUGAAUUGAGAUUUUUAAAAGGUCAUUAUUUCAUAAAUUUUGUGGAUUUUAAUUAAUGUUGUUACAUAUGAUUCAAAUAUUUGUUAGACAAUGUAUUGAGCAAUGUCACACAUUCGAUUUUGAAGUGGUUUAUGGGCAUUUGCAAAAAGAAAUAUGAUAAAUGGGAUGUUUUGACAUUAUAAGAGAAGAGAUUCUAUCUUAAAUUAUUUAUUUAGUAUAUAAAUUUUAAUGAAGUGUAUCUUGUGUUUUUAAAAUUUUAUUUUUUAAUUUAUCCAACUAAAGAGUUUAUUGUAAAGUGCGUUUGAAAAUUUGAGUCUAAAGUAAGAUUUGAAUUCUUACUUAUACCAAAUUUAUAUUUAAUUAGAUUUGUUUUAAUUAAGAUUCAUAAUCAAUUUUAUGAAACAAUCGUAUGAUAGAUAGGUGGUGUAAAACGAGUUUUCAUAUGGAAUAAGGUGAGACAGUUCGACAAUAUCCUUUUUCUUUUCAUCCAUUUUUGCGUCUUAUUAGGAUUAGGCUUCGUGUUCUAUUAUGCCUCGGUGACUAGUCCAAAAUUGUUGCCCUCGAGCCCUGUUUUUUGUCAUGAAGGAUAAGGGUUUUGCACUAGCUAUCUUGUGUGUCCAUAAAAGUUAUCAUGGGAGAGGUCUGAUGGGACGUUGAUAUUCUUAGGAAGAUAUAAUUUUGGGAUAACACUUAUGCAUGACAUUUUAAAAGGCUGGCCAUGACUGACAUGUGCCCUAUAUCCUUGUUAGUCGUCCACAUGAUUAAAUUGGAGAUGUCAGGACAUCAACCCAAUAAUCAUAAAGGAACCCCAAUUGUUGAUAGUGGAUAAUGAUCAUACAAUCUUGAAUCAUUUGAGGAAGUGUACUAGGUUUCCAGAGGGACUUUACUCUUUUUAUUGAUUCCAUACUAACUUUCUUUAGAAGCUCAUUUUCCUUUUUUCUAUUUGCUAUAGUGAUUCUCUUGGUGUGAAGGCUGAUCAAUUAUCCAAGAGAUUUUACUUGUCGAUUCAGUCUCUUACUUGUUCGUGUUUGUACUCGGGCUUCUGAAUUUUGGCGCAUGAGAUUUUCAUCCUCUUCUCCUCUUCGUCAUGUUUAGGGUUUCUUAGCAUUUCAUAUUUAUUCGCUCUGCCUUUGGUUCCUGCAUUUUCUCUUUGAUUCAUGCAAAUAUGGUUGCUUCCUCUAUGUCAACUAGAAGGGUUAGUAGAGAUAUUUCAGAAGUUUGGAUAAGUUCAUAUAUAUCAGGUGUUGUCUCCAUCUUCUCCCAUAGUGAUGCAUUUGUUCAGGCUAUGACUAAUGUGGGUCCGCCUGAGGAUUUAGGUGUUCUUUCCUCGGAUGAGGAUCAAAGAGUAUGUGGUCAAUAUGGUAGGUGUAUUAUCCCAUUCCACGAAUGUUUGUUUCCCUGAUUGGUUAUUGUCUCCCCUUUAAUGAAUUUGAAAUCAGUGUUAUAAACCAUGUGCUUAUUUCCCUUUUGUAAUUCCACCAUAUGAGUUGAGAGUUCAUUAAAAUAUUUCAACAGCGGUGUGAAUAUAAGGGCAUCAAGCUGACAGUGACAUUUGUUUUACGAAUGAAUUAUAAAAAAUCCAUUCGGUGUCUUUUUUCCAUGAGCUUGGCUAUGUAUGAGGGGUGGUUCCCUCUGAUCUUGCUUUUAAGACCCGACUAAAUACAUGCACUCAAACUCGUUGGAUCGUGGAUGUCAAAUCUAAAGAAGAGAGGGGGAAAAUCUUUGGUAUGUGGCCUUAGAGUUUCAUCUUUUUUUCUUUAUUUAAUAUUAUCUAAUAUUCUUGUCUUUUACAGAUGUCAUGAAGAGUUAAGACGUCAUGCAGCGACUAAAGAAAGAGAUUCAAGUUGUCGUUGUCUUGGUUGGAAUUACGAGCACACCCCUUAUUGGUGAGACUUCUGCUUUGGGUACGCUUGCUGGCACCUUGUAUGUUCUUGUUGCCAGACAAGUUACUCAAGUUGUCCUUCCUAUUGACGGGGAUGUGAAUUUGGCUUCCUCUGGUUGCACUUUGGUAGUAGGAAAUUCAUCUUCCCCUAUCUAGGAAAGGGAGAAAAUAUUAUAUCCCAUUCCUAAGUCUAAAGAGGUUUGAUAUUAGGUUUCUUCCCCAAGCGUCUCCGAAGGUCUAGAUUUGUGGAGGAACCAUCAUUUCUUUAUAGGGAUGGCAACCUUGUAUUAUUGACUCGUCUGGGUUUAAGGACAUGUAGUGAAUUUUUUUCCUUGAUUUCUAACAAGGAUUAUUCUUAUUUCUCUUAACUGCUUGACGAGGCUCGUCAAGGCAAAUUGGUCGAACUAGCCUACCAUGUUCAUCAAGAAUAUGUUAUUUUGGCUUUAGGUGUUGCUCACUAGGAAGAGGUUUUUUUGCUUGAUUUUAUUUUUUAGGAAAAGGAAAGGUUGAUGAAGAAAGUUGGUGAUCUUACACUUUAGAGGAAUAUGUGUCUAGAAGAGGUUCAAGAUGUUUCUAACUUAUUACUUGCCAUAGAAACUCCUUUGUAACCCUUGGGGUAUUCUGGUCCUCUUACUGAAAGGGUGAAGUAGUUAGUCCAAGUGGUAAUUGAUAAGCAUUUGGCUUUAACUGAAAUGAACCGAUGUUUGGAGGUUACUUGGAGGAAAAAUAAAGAGUUGGAAAAGGCUUUAAAGGAGUCUUAAGAUAGUCAACAAAAUACUGAGGUCAACCUAACCAACAUGUGUGAGGAAAUCUUUCCCUUUAUAAGGAGUUGCCCAAAUCCUUGCAGGAAGAUUUUUGUGUGGCUAGGGAUGCUUUAAAAUUUCUCUUCGGCAAGUUGAAUAUCUUUAUUCGACUAGUCUCAUUUCUCAAUCUCAGGUUCUUCUUAACCAGAUAAUUAAAAACAGACAAAUGGUUCCUCUGGAUGGAUAGUUUUUUAUUGGAGGUCGGUGGAUGUAAACCUGGUGUAUAUGGAUCUUCACUUGUAAUAUAUAUAUUUUUAAAUAUAUUUUAUUUUGUUUUCUUUUAUUUUAAUGAUACCUUUGUGUAUAUAGUUCAAGUCAUUCCCUUGAGUUUCAUGCUCGGAUUUCAUUGGGCUUCUUUCGGGACCGGGCCCGACCAAGGAUCGACACCCCUUCCCAUGACCCCGGGUAUAAACCUAGUUAAAGGUUGAUGUAUUUGAGGACCUACCAAUGCCUCUGGCGUGACUAGCUAUCAAGAGGGGGUAUACUAAUUAUUUCCCAUUUUAGGGCAUGUUUGUUGUGCUCGUGAUGUGGGGUUUUGAUCGUUUUAGUCAUAGACUUUUAGUGUUUAAGAUAGCUCUCUAAGUUUGUAUGAUAGGGGCUUAGAUCCUUCUAGAUGUACCCCAAACUCAUCUUUACCUUUUCAUGAUAAAUAAGAAUAAAAAUUUAGUGAUAAAUUCUUUAUUUAUUUCAAUAGUUGUAUAACAAUGUACAUGCCAUGUCUUUCUUUUACAAUAAAUGAUAAUUAAAAAGAUAACUUAACCAUGUGGUUUUUGCCACUGCUUAUUUGACUCUGAGGUUUGUGUUUCCUUUUAAUUAUCCAUUUUUUGUUUACCAUCUCUAUUUGUAGUACCUUCUUGGUCAAAGGAUAGUUGGCCAUAUACUUUAGUUGUUUAAUUAACGAGGCCACAUUCAUAUCAAUAGUGGUAGCUUCACCUUUGUUUUGAUCCUGUUGUAAAGCUUGAUAAAUCGUCCUAGCCUAUGUCUGGUCAACACUAAUACUAAUCGGAUCAUUGUGGGUGUUAAGGUAUUUCAUCUUCAAAUGGAAUAGGGAAGCUACUGCGUCCAGCGUCGCCAUGAAAAGUCAAUAUAGGACAUAAUUGGAAACACUUCAACACAGGACAAUCAAGAAUUGGGAUUCAACGAUUCAAGUAUUUUGUCCUUCCCUAACACUAAACACCAGCUCAAUGUAUCCCCAUGGAUGGGACAUAAUGCCAUUAAAGGCUUGUAAAUAUGACCCAUCAUAUGGUAAUAGUUUAUCUUUCUUCAAUCCUAUUUUCUCAAAGAGGUCAGUAUACAUGAUAUCACAAGAACUUCCUUUAUCAAUCAUGACUCGAGACACAUAAAAUAUGGAUAUGAUUGUCAUUAUCACCAAAGGGAAUAUCUUGUUCUAGAUUCCUCCCACCUUUUUACUAUCUCAAAAUUCAAAUAUCGACCUUUCUGGGUUGGUGGAUGAGGUGAUUCCCUCCUUUUUGCUUAUAGCCAUUAACUCGAUAAUCUUCCUAUUUAUUGUACCUUUGGAUGACACUCUUAAUUUGGGAUCCCUCGGUUAUAGAGGCGAUAUACUGACGUUUUCCCUUAUAUCCUUUGCCUUUUUCGCUAUAGGCUUUUUUACCCUUUCCCCCGGCCACGACUUUGAUUGUCAUCUUGGGGGAUUGUCUUUUCUUUGGAGAUUCCCCUAUACUCCUUUUACCAUCCUUGGUAUAUUCAUAUAGACAUCUUUUCUUGAUAAUCCCUUAGAUCAUGUCCUUGAGUUGAAUUUAAUUCUUGAUAUUAUAACCAUGAAUUUUGUGGAAACUAUGAAAAAGACUCCACCUUGACUUGGCUAGGGUUUUGGAGAAGACAAAUACAUAAACAAAAGAAGAAAAAAACAAAUUCAAUAAUGAUUAAUAAAGAAGAAAAAAAUGAAGACAGUAAUCGAUUAUGAAAAAAUGGCAAAGAUCAACAUUGAACAAAGUUUAGAUUGUCUUUAUCAUUGAUAUAUCACGAUUCAUCUUAUAUAUCACUUAAAAGCUCAGAAAAUAUUGUUCAAAUUUAAUCUGAAAUGUUUUUAAAAUUAUCACAUAAAAACCUUUGAAGUUGUGCCUUAAAAGAUGAAUUUAGUGCUGGAAUGGAAGUGGUAUUCGGCUAUCAGUAUGUGGUAUUCGAAUACCAGUGUCAAUUUUAAAAAAAUGGAACAUUACAAAGUGGUAUUCGGCUACCAGGAUAUGGUAUUUGAAUACCACCUGAACCAAUGUGUUUUUUCAUCUAACAUAAUCAUAAUGGCAAAGCUUCAUGGAACAGUUUCAAACUUUUGCAAUCAUUUAUAGAGGUUUUUAUAAGUGUAUAUAAAGCAACGUACACUAGAAAAUGAAUUACCAACUUUCAAAAUCAUAUUUAUAAGAAUCAAAUAUCAUUUUCAAAGUGUUCUUCAUUUUUCAAAUGGUUUGAAACUAUGUGAAUUUUCAUAAACAAGAAAAAGCUUCAUAAACCAAAAUAGACUAUGAGUAAUUAAAUGAUAUACCUUGAAUUGUCAUAUUGAGAAAAUAAAUUAUAUAAUCCCAAGAUUGGAUUUGACAUUCAAUAGCCUACUACAUUCUUCAUUUCUCAACAAAGUUGAAGUGCUUGUGUUUUUUCAUCAUUGUGCAUUGGUGAAAUGUGUUUGUAAAUCGAAGGUGGUGUAUUUUAUGAUUUAUCUGAGGAUCAAUAUAGUGUUUGGUGAUUGUAAAAAAGGUUCUUUAAAUUGGGGUGAUUCAAGAUCCACCAAGGAUUUGGUGUUUGUAUAUGUUUUAGAAGAUUGUAAAAAGGUCUUGGUGAAGACUUGUACAAGGAUCUAAUCAUAGUGUAAAAUCCUCUAAGGAGUAAAUGGACUAGAUGUACCCUUAUUUUAUAAGGGGAACUAGUAUAACUCUUGUGUGUUCUUUAUCUUUAUGCCUUUAAAAUUAUGCACUUUAUAAUAAUAUUAAAGUAGCAUUCAACCACUUGUUUCUAGUAAAAUUAAAAGUUAAAAAAACAUUGCAUAAAAUCAAGGAAAAUCCAUAAAAUCUUAUCCACCCCUCCUUGUGAUUGUCUCUCAUAGUUACAUUUAGAAUUAGAGUAAGAGUUAGGUAAAUUGCUCCUAGAUUUGGGCUUUAAUGGUUUAUGUAAAACCUUUCUUAGGAGAAGCAAAUAGCACCAACAGACAACCGAGUUUCACCGGGGAGUGUUAUGACUUUUGAAAGAUUAGAAUGUAAAUGUUUCUAGAAUUACAAGGGGUAGAAGUUUGGAGAUUAUACAUAAAUGGUCCAUACAUUCCUACUUUACUUGUUAAUGGUGUAAGUUAAACAAAACCUAAAGAUACAUGGAAUGAUGAUAAUAACAAGAAAGUUAUAUAUGAUAAGAAAGUCAAAAUUAUAGCAUCUUCCUUUGAGGUGGAUGGAUUUUUCAGGGUGUCUAAUUGUCAAACUUCUAAAUAAACAUGGGAAACCUUAGAGAUCACACACGAGUGUACGAAGGAAGUAAAAUGAUCUAGACUAAAUAGUUUCUCUCAAGAAUAUGAGAUGUUUAGAAUGCAACCAGGAGAAAGAAUUAUAGAUUUGCAAAAAAAGGUUCACUCAUUUGACAAACCAUUUAACUGUUAUUGGAAACCUUCACCGACAAUGAAUAAAAUUUAAAGGUCCUUAGAUCCUUAACAAGGACAUGGCAACCGAAAGUAACGAAAUUUUUAAAAAAAAUAAAAGUAUAUCUAAGAUGACAUGGCGACAUUAUUUAGAAAAUUGCAAGAACACGAAUUAGAACUUGAACGAUUGGAGAAGCAUGAAGGACGUGAACAUAAAGUUAGAUCCCUUGCAUUAAAAACUUAAGUCAAAGAUUAUGAUAGUGAUGAUGAAGAAGAAUCUCAAUUUGAUGGUCAACAAGAUUAUGAAAAUAUAUAAUUACUAGUUAAGAAGUUUGAAAAAUUCUUGAAAAGAGACAAAACAAUAAAAAUUAGCCAAAGAAAAAAGUUUAAUGAAGAAUAAACUUCAAGUCAAAAGAUCAUGUGCUUUGAAUGUGGAAAACAAGGACAUAUUAAGAAUAAUUUUCCUUUUCUAAAAAAAAAAGAACAAAAAAAGAAGGAUAAAAAAUCUAAGUAGAGCAUAUAUGCUUGCGGAGACCAUGGUGUGAGUAAAAAUUCAAAAAAUAAAGAACAAACACAUAUAUCUUUCAUGGUUUCACAUUACUCUGAUGGUGAUUAAGAGGUUAGUAAUUUUGACUCAAGUGAUAAACUUUAUUAUGAUGAAUUAUAAGAUGUUUUUAAUGAUUUACAUGAUGAAUGUCUAAAACUUUCUAGAUUAUGUGCUAAGCAAAAGACUAUUUCUUCUUUAGAAAGUAAAACAAAUGUUAUGCAAGAAGAGUUAGACAAAGUUAAAACCAAAAUAGACAUUCAUGGUAAUUGUUUAUCAUCUAUUAAAUGUGUAUCUCUUGAAUCUAAAAUUGAUAAAAUAAAUCAAGUGAUGUGCAUUUAUGAAAAAGACAAAAAUGUAUUCGAUAAUGUUCUAAGUAAUCAAAUAUAUGUUAAUGAUAAAAGUGGACUCAGAUAUUCUAAAUUUGAAUAUUCUAGUCAAAUAAAAAAGAUUAUCUUUAAAUGUUUGUAGCAAUCUUCAAUCUAGAAAAGUAUCUCAUAAUGUCCAACCUAAAAAGGAUUAUAAUAAUAAUAAUUAAGUUUAUUAUCAUAAAAAGAAAAUUCCUAACAUGACACAUACUUGUUUUAUUACAAUUGUGAAAGUCAUACCACCAAUGCAUGUUAUGUUUAAAAAAAUGGUAUACCCAGUGGUAAAUAUGUGUGGUUGAGAAAUAAACUAACCCAAAAGGAUCCAAAGAAUAUUGGGUACCUAUAAAUAUCUAUUGAUUUUAUUUUAUAGGUGCGUUUGAAAACUAUAUGCUAAAAUUGUAAUAUAAAGAUUAUUUAUUCAAGACACAAGAACACCAUAUGAUAUGGUAAGGUUAGAAAUCAUUUGGCUAAAGAUGAAUUGAAAAAAUUAACUCUUUUAAUUAGCAUUGUAAAAAAGAGCAAGUGUGUUAAUAUAUGAUAUUAUAUUUUUUCAUUUAAAAACUUUAUUUAUAAUGAUGUAUUUUCACCCCAUAGAUUGACUUUUGUUCAUAUGAAUUGUGUUAUUUCCCUCUCUGUUAUGUUCUAUUGGAUUAUUCUACUUUUUCUUCAUUUUGAUAAUGUCAGAAAAGGGGAAGAAAUGGUAGCGUAUGUUUAUUCUUUUUCAUGAUAUUUUUAGGAGGAGAAAGUCUUAAAUUGAAAAAGACGGGGGAAAAUAUACAAGACAUUCGAAGUUUCUAGUUGUUGCAUAUAUUACAAGAUUCAGAAAUAUUAAAGCAACUUGUUGAUAAACAAGAAAAUUUUAAAUGAUACUUGUCAUCAUCAAAAAGGGGGAUAUUACGAAGAAGAUCUUUUCCUUGACCUUGGAUAGGGUUUUAAUAAAGACAAAUUCAUCAACAAAAUAAGAAAAAUAUAAAGUCAACAAUGAUCAACAAAUAAGGAAAAAGAUGAAGACAAUGAAUGUUAAAGAUGAAGACAACAAUCAAUCAUGACAAAAUGGCAAAGAUUAACAAUGAACAAAGUUAAGAUUAUCUUUAUCUUUGAUAUAUCAUCAUUUAUCUUAUAUAUUACUUAAAGUCUUAUAAAAUAUCAUUCAAAGUUAACCUAAAAUGUUUUUGUUUCAUUAUGGAACCAGAAUUGAUGUAUGUCGAUGGUGAGGAAUUCUGAAUCGGUGGUAACUAUAAUAUGGCGGAGCGAGGUGAGCCUGCAAGGUUAGUACUCUAAUGCCCAAGUCGGUUCAGGAUUCAAGAUGAGUGUAGUAAAGAAAUGGGGAUCAUAAAUUGUACUUUUAAUGUCAUGUGUCAUGGCAUUUAUAUGUUGGAUCAUUUCAAAUAGAUUUGUAUUGGAUUGGGUAUUAGCUUGUGAGCCUUUCGCCGACCCAAAACUAUUUCCCUCAAGGCUUGUUGGAUGGGUAGUUGGGGAAGUCUUAGAAGUCAUGGCCAGACUCUAAUAAUGUUGUUCACUCUUGGUCAUAAGUGGAAACGUUUUGGACCAGUUGCAAAAUUAGUGGGGAACAAGCUCAAUAAAUGCCUUCACAUCAUUGAAACAUUUCACUGCUCAUCCUUAACGUAUGGCUUGAGAUGACAAGUUAGGGCAUGAAUAUCCUUAUAGUUCACUUGAGUGCACUUGAUUUUGUUUAUGUCCCCUAGGAGGAAUCCAACCAUAGAUCUUAUAACCUCUCUCUUCCGCUAAUAUGUUAUGUGGCUUGCCUUCACACACAAUAUAUAUAAGGGUUUUCGAGUGUUGAGGGAAUAUUUUACAAUCUUUGAGAGUCAGUUUCUAUUUAUUAGUGCAUUUGUCUCUUAUUUUUCCAAGAGUACUUGUCAGGGAGAUUGUUGUCCCUUGAAAAAAGCUUUCAUUCUUCCCUACUAAACUUCACUUUUCAUCAACCUUUACUUUAUUAGGUACUCUCCAUACCUCACGCUUUUUAUAACUUUAACAUUUCCUUUAUCUUAACCAAUAUGAGAUGUAGUCCCAUUAUUUUCCUAUUAAUUAUGAGAAUGGUGAGUCUCAUGUAUUUAUGUCAGUAAUGUCUUCUGGUUCAAACUCUUCCCCUUUGACCACUGAUCAACUGACCCAUAAGGUCAUAUCUAUAAUUGAUGAUUUUUAUUUGGAGCUCUCUAGGGGUUCUCCAGAUGGAAGAUAUUCCUUUGUGGAUUUUUCCUUAUAUUCUCUCUCUUUUUAAGAUGAUGUUGAAGGUGAUUGUGUGUUCGCUUCCAUGCCUCAUUCUUCGCAUGCGUAAGAACUUUGACUUCUCAUACUUUGUUGACUCCGAAAAUACAGGUUGCUAUUAUGAAAAGGGAGGAUGUUAAAGAUAAAGUAUGUGCUUAUCAAAAAUCCUACAAUCGAGAACCUAACGAUACCAACAUCAAGGACCAUCUAGAGUGUAGAGCUUGGCUGGACAGAGUUUGAUGGCUUAAACCCUCAUAAAUCUUUAAGGUCAAUGAGUUAUCCCUAAAAGGGGUUUGACUAGCAAAGUUGAAAGACGCGAGUAGAUACAAUUGGAUGGAUGCUAAGAUAAUAGGAACCUUCUCCCUUUAAAUACCUGGGCGGUCAUAAGCGCAACCAACAUCUCGGUCGCCCGUCCUUUUGAUUGGUCAGUCCUUUUAGUAGAUCCAAAAAAAGAAUAUGCAACACUUUUAAUGGGUGUCUAGUCCACUUUUGUGAGUGUUUAUUUACUAGGGUAAAUAUGAUAUUGCCUUUAUCUGAAUUUGAGGUGGAGGUGUUGAAGUAUAUGAAGGUUUCCCCCUUUCAGCUUCACCCGGGUUCCUAGGCUUAUUUGAAGAUGUUCCAAUUUUGGGAUGAGUAUAGAUCUUGGAAACCUUCUCCCCGACUAUUUUCCAAUUUGUUCCUAGUUAUACACACUUCCCAGAAUGAUAUUCAAUAUCAGAGGCAUAUUGAGCUUCAUUAGCAUACUCCCUUAUUCAGAAAUUUCAUUGAGGAUUUAGGCGAUUUUAUGGGGCACUUCGUGUUGGUGAGGCCUCACACUCAUGAGGAUCGCUUUGCCUUAUUCUCCAGUCCUGCCAAAUAUUCUCACUCUUGUAAGGGUGGGCUUUGGAAAUACUGGGUUUGGCCUCAUUUUCAUUCAGAGUCUCAUACGUAUAGCAUUUAACUAGAUUCCUUUACUGUUGAAGAAGUUAUGAUGAGCAGGAACUUAGAGCCUUUAUAUUAGAGACUCAACUAUCAAGAAGGCUUUGGCCCCGACAAAAUGUCUUCAUCUACUAGAAUAAGAAAUAUAUUGACACUCGUGCUAUUAUGAGUGUGGUCAGUCAUUCUGAUAAGAAAUAAAUCUUUGGUGAGGAUGGAGUCCUUCAACUUUUUUAACAUGCGCGUUUGCACUUGCAGAUAAAAUGGGUUAUUUGUAGAAAGUUUAUUCCAUUGCUAAUUCUCAAGGUGUCAACACUGGUCCCCCGGCUCGAACUGCUACUCAUCAUCCCACAAAUCUUGUCGCAUCCUCUACUACCGAGGCUACCUCAACUGCCUCCAGAGCUGACCAACUUAUCUUUGACGUUCUUGCCCUGUAUGUGGAGGAUCAAACUUAGGAUUCUACUACCUCAAAGAAGAGAGACCUUGAUUCGGACCAGAGUCUCGUUCUAGAGGAAGAUUCUCCAAAACGGUCUUGUUUUUCUAGGGGGUACUGCUUCAGGAUCGACCACUCCCCUUCUCAAAUUUCCUCUCAUCUUUGCUUCUUAGAUUCCUCGCACUCUUGAGAAAGUUUGCUAUAUUCACAAAAUAUCUAGCCUACCUCAAAAAUCUACCUGAGACAGACAAGAUGGAGCUUUUCUCUAAGGCUACCUUCUACACUUACCGAAUGACUUCUCCAUUUUCACUGGUUGUUGUUGGUCGAGGCGAUGUCUUGGCCAUGGGUAAUCCUUCAAAAGAGAGGGAUACCUGGAAGGGGAAUGUGAAACUAUAAAGUGAAAAUGUUCCAAGUUUUAGGAAGAUAUAUAUGUUCUCUAGGAAAAGAUUAUAUGUGUUAAGGCUUUCUAGGAGGAGAUGAAGUUCCAUGGAUAUCCUUCUACUUUAACAACCCAAAUUACCAAGGUAUAUUCUUCCUUAGAGGCAGAGAAAAAGUAUUGCCAACAAAAAUUUGCUUCCGUUGAAGAGGCAAAUCGUCGUGCUAAUGAGGUUGGAAAAUCCCUUUAAUAGGAGAAAAAUCAUUGUGUUGAAGAUUAAAGGCCUCAUGAUGGCCAGGUGGCUGAGCUAAAUGAGAGGGUUUGGGAGUCUCUUUAUGAAUAAGUAAAAGUAUAAAUCAUAAUGAAAUGGACUAAAAAUAGUUAUGUAAUUUCAACGAUGUUACAAUGUUGAAUGGUGAAAUUGGGUUUUUUCCCUCAACCAUAAAGGCCCAAUAUCAACUCCUAUUUAAAGAGAAGUAAGAGAAGGGAAGGGUGGACAAUCUUGUGACUUAAAUUUCACGGUGAAGCGAUUUCUAAAUUUAUGGAGCAAAGGUUUUCAUCACCGAAAGUCAAACUUAAAUCAAAAGUUCGUGUAUUGUUUCUUCAUUACUUCAGUCAUGUUUACUAUGAGUAUGAAUAGUUAAGUUUUAUUGAUCAGGUCUUGUUAGACGAGCAUGUUGGGAUAAGUAUGAAUAGCUAAGAUUCAUAUGGCAUAUGUUUUAGAAUUGCAUAUGGCUAGGUUUUAUAUGCUUAUAAUAAUUUAUGUGUAAGUGUAGAUAUGUGAUAGAUUCAGUCAUUCAAGUCUCUUGUCUGGUGAUUGUAUAUGUAUAGACUUUUAAUUUAAUAUUGACUUUUUUAUUAAUAAGAUUCAAUUUAGACACCCCGGGAUAAAUUGAAUUCAGAAAAAUGAUGCAUUGAUCAUUUUGCGCCCUCAACUUCCAUCUUCUUUGUAUUUUAUGAUAUUAUGAGUAAACCAUGAAAUCAAUCUGAUUGCAUAUUUUAUAAAAUUCCACUUGUAAGCUUUUUGAACUCUAAUUUUGAAGAAAACGGUUUGAAAUAGGUUUUAAGGGAAAUGUCUAUUCAAAUCCACAUCCCUUUCUUGACCAUUCUUCACCCAUAUUCUUCCAAAUAGUUCUUUCUCCGUUGUGGUGACCUCCAUAAGAUGAGAUAUGACAAUACCAUAUGAUACUUAUUACUUUGUCCCAUCUACACAUCCGAUUUUAAAGUUGAUCAUAUCAGCAAACCAUGGUCUUUUCAAUAACCACAAAUGUUUUCUCAUCUCGAAACUCCUCUAAUAUUAUACUCUUCUCCUUAUUUGUAACAUCAUAAAUCUCUAGUCUUGAUAAGUGAUCAAAUACCACAUUCUCGACUCCCUUCUUAUCUUUGAUCUCCAGGUCAAAGUUUUAAAGAAAAAUAACUCAUAUUAACAAAUAGGUUUUGACUCUCCUUAAUUCAACUAAGUGUCUGAGCGUUGUACGAUGAUAUGUAAACACAAUAACUUUGGAACUAGUUAGAUAAGAGUAAAAAUGUCCCAAUACAAAUAUUAUGACGAGUAAUUCCUUCUUAAUGGUAGUCUAGUUUACUUUUCAUUCAAGAUUUGUUCACAUAAUAUAUAGUAUGGAUUUUAUUUUAUUUUAUUGACUUCAAGUUCGUAAUCACUAGCAUUGCAAAUCAGUUUAAAAAGUAAUGAUCAAUUAAGGAUUAUGAUUACGGAAGCGGUCCCAAAUCAAUUUAAAAAGAAAAUAGUCAAGUGAGGGUUAUGAUUACGAAUGUGAUGGCUAACUUUUCUUAAAUAAGUAUUAAAGAACUUAAACAAUCAUCAUCAAAUUUAAAGCAAAUCAAUUGUUAUUGAUCCAAAUAAUUUGUGUGAUUUUAUAUAACAUAUAUGACUAUAUUGUAAAUUGUAAUUCAAGCACUUUAAUUUGAAGUUGUUAUCGUCCACCUAUAUUCAACUACACAAAAUUGUGCUUUACCAUUAAACUUUAAAAAUUUGUACAGACCAUGAACUAAAUCCUAUCCAACAUACAAUAUACAGACAUUAACUAGCUUGAAAGUGAAUCAGGUUCAUAUAUCUAGAUAUUACAAGACAGUAAUGAUCAAACUCACGUACAUAUGUAAAAAGAGAAAUCAAUUAUAUACUAUACAUGGUCCCCAACACCACCGAUUUCAGCUAGCUAUCUAAUUACUCAACUCUCACUUGAAGCCACCUCUGCUGUAAUGAGACAUUUUGAUUUUAUGAGGUGUAACACACAAGGCUUCCAUAACCAUGCAAGAUGAAGAAUGUCGAAUGGUCAGCAACUCAUGUAUCUUCUUGGAGCCGAUGUGUCCCUCCUAUACUUUCCUAUGUUUCACUAUAAAUCCCUAUGCCAGAUUAAGGUUCUUCGCGUCACAAACAUAUAUUCUAUCCAACUAUGGCUACUAAGCUUCUUGCACUUUCUCUUUCAUUCUGUUUUCUACUUUUGGGGGGCUGUUUUGCUUUGAGAGAACAGCCAGAGCAAAAUGAGUGCCAGCUAGAACGCCUCAAUGCCCUCGAGCCUGAUAACCGUAUAGAAUCGGAAGGUGGGCUCAUUGAGACUUGGAAUCCCAACAACAAGCAAUUCCGAUGUGCUGGUGUGGCCCUCUCUCGUGCUACCCUUCAACGUAACGCCCUUCGCAGACCUUACUACUCCAAUGCUCCCCAAGAAAUUUUCAUCCAACAAGGUUACUUAUUUUAAUCUUAUACCAACUUCUUUACGUACAUUACAUGCAUAUUAGCAUACUAAUUAGUGUUCUACUAUACCAAUUACAGGUAAUGGAUAUUUUGGGAUGGUAUUCCCCGGUUGUCCUGAGACCUUUGAAGAGCCACAAGAAUCUGAACAAGGAGAGGGACGCAGGUACAGAGACAGACAUCAAAAGGUUAACCGAUUCAGAGAGGGUGAUAUCAUUGCAGUUCUGCCAGGUUCCUACUGGUAUUGUAUUUUGGAUGUACAACGACCAAGACACCCAGUUAUUGCCGUCUCUCUUACUGACAUUAGAAGCUCCAUAACCAGCUUGAUCAGAUGCCUAGGGUGAGCACUGAGCAUAAUUAAACUUCCCAUAUAAGAAUAUGUUGUCCAAAACAGUAACAUAGAUUCUAUCUAUCUAGUUUGACAGAGAUUCUAUCUUGCUGGGAACCACGAGCAAGAGUUUCUACGAUACCAGCAUCAACAAGGAGGAAAGCAAGAACAAGAAAAUGAAGGCAACAACAUUUUCAGUGGCUUCAAGAGGAUUUCUUGGAAGAUGCUUUCAACGUGAACAGGCAUAUAGUAGACAGACUUCAAGGCAGGAAUGAAGACGAAGAGAAGGGAGCAUUGUCAAAGUGAAAGGUGGACUCAGCAUCAUAAGCCCACCCGAGAAGCAAGCGCGCCACCAGAGAGGCAGCAGACAAGAGGAAGAUGAAGUGAAGAUGAAGAGAGGCAGCCGCGCCACCAGAGAGGCAGCAGACAAGAGGAAGAGGAAGAUGAAGAUGAAGAGAGGCAGCCGCGUCAUCAAAGGAGAAGAGGAGAGGAGGAAGAAGAAGACAAGAAAGAGCGCCGCGGCAGCCAAAAAGGCAAAAGCAGAAGGCAAGGAGACAAUGGGCUUGAGGAAACAGUUUGCACUGCUAAACUUCGAUUGAACAUUGGCCCGUCUUCAUCACCAGACAUCUACAACCCUGAAGCUGGUAGAAUCAAAA
rnacentral:lncRNA from 1 species